CUCUGCGUUGCCUCUCUCUGCGUUAUUAUAAGGUGUGUUAAGUAGUAUUAUUCCUAUCAGUUUAAUCCCUGUUACGUCCCCCAGGGGACGUGUAUAUGGCAUCGAUUUUAGGAACCGGGAGAUGGAAAAAGAUGCUUGGUCGGUCCUCCUACUUCAAAUUUGGGGCACUGCGCAUGCAAUCUAAUGUGCCACCAGAUAGGAGUGGUGUGUUAAGUAGUACUAUUCUUAUCAGUUUAAUCCCUGUUACGUCCCCUAUCCGUUGAUGUGGAGCAAGAC